CAGUCGCCACGGUAAUACGAAGGGUGCAAGCGUUAAUCGGAAUUACUGGGCGUAAAGCGUGCGUAGGCGGUUUGUUAAGUCUGUUGUGAAAUCCCCGGGCUCAACCUGGGAAUGGCAAUGGAUACUGGCAAGCUAGAGUGUGUCAGAGGAUGGUGGAAUUCCCGGUGUAGCGGUGAAAUGCGUAGAGAUCGGGAGGAAUACCGGUGGCGAAGGCGGCCCCCUGGACAAAGACUGACGCUCAGGUGCGAAAGCGUGGGAGCAAACAGGAUUAGAUACCCGAGUAGUCCCUGUCUCUUAUACA
rnacentral:rRNA from 1 species